rnacentral:pre_miRNA from 1 species
UCAAACUGACUUGAGCCUUGCGAAUAAUUCCUAAUUUAAAGAGCGAUUUGUUCGUGUGGCUCGAGUUAGAUAAA